GCCCUGCUAGCUCAAUCGGUAGAGCGUGAGACUUUUACAAUCAGAGGCAGUGAGCAGCCUCACCCUCCGAUGCCAAAUUGUACUUAGCUUGUUCAGGGAUCUCAAGGCUGCGGGUUCGAGCCCCGCGUGGGGCU